rnacentral:rRNA from 1 species
CGUAGGUGGCGAGCGUUGUCCGGAUUUACUGGGCGUAAAGGGCGUGCAGGCGGUUUGUUAAGUGCAGGGUGAAAGCUCCCGGCUCAACUGGGAGAGGUCCUUGCAUACUGGCGAACUCGAGGGAGGCAGAGGAAAGUGGAAUUCUCGGUGUAGUGGUGAUAUGCGUAGAUAUCGGGAGGAACACCUGUGGCGAAGGCGGCUUUCUGGGCCUUACCUGACGCUGAGACGCGAAAGCGUGGGGAGCGAACCGG